UACGAAGGGGGCUAGCGUUGCUCGGAAUCACUGGGCGUAAGGUGGCGUAGGCGGGUCUUUAAGUCAGGGGUGAAAUCCUGGAGCUCAACUCCAGAACUGCCUUCGAUACUGGCGAUCUUGAGUCUGGGAGAGGUGAGUGGAACUCCGAGUGUAGAGGUGAAAUUCGUAGAUAUUCGGAAGAACACCAGUGGCGAAGGCGGCUCACUGGCCCGGUACUGACGCUGAGGUGCGAAAGCGUGGGGAGCAAACAGG
rnacentral:rRNA from 1 species